rnacentral:rRNA from 1 species
UGGGGAAUUUUGGACAAUGGGCGAAAGCCUGAUCCAGCAAUGCCGCGUGUGCGAAGAAGGCCUUCGGGUUGUAAAGCACUUUUGUCCGGAAAGAAAUCCGCCUGGCUAAUACCCGGGCGGGAUGACGGUACCGGAAGAAUAAGCACCGGCUAACUACGUGUCAGCAGCCGCGGUAAUACGUAGGGUGCGAGCGUUAAUCGGAAUUACUGGGCGUAAAGCGUGCGCAGGCGGCUUUGUAAGACAGAUGUGAAAUCCCCGGGCUCAACCUGGGAACUGCAUUUGUGACUGCAAGGCUAGAGUGCGUCAGAGGGAGGUGGAAUUCCGCGUGUAGCAGUGAAAUGCGUAGAGAUGCGGAGGAACACCGAUGGCGAAGGCAGCCUCCUGGGAUGACACUGACGCUCAUGCACGAAAGCGUGGGGAGCAAACA